UUUCCGUAGGUGAACCAGCGGAAGGAUCAUUACAAAAUGUUAUGGGAUGUCCUAACGGGCACCCAAGCAAACCCAUCCAUAUUAAACAUUUGAAACAAUUACUAGUCUGAUAAGGCCAUAUGCUGUAAAAAUUUAAAUAUAUUAAAACUUUCAACAACGGAUCUCUUGGCUCUC
rnacentral:misc_RNA from 1 species